rnacentral:sRNA from 1 species
GCAGAAAGAUCGUACCGGAUAUACCGGUGA